AGACGUCUGUAUGAUGUGCUUUAUAGCCUUUAAAGGUGUGGCAAGAAAGCCUCCGGAGCAUCUCACCGUAAGCCAGGCAGUCAGAGAACCAUGAUGCCCUUCAACACUCUGAAGAUGCUUUCCAGUAAACAACCAACUCAUUACCAUUCAAGUCCUUCCUCCCACAGGAUGCUAAGAAUGCAUGUAUAACUAGUCAGGCCUGUACCACGCUGUCAUACUGAUGUCAUAAUGGUGGCUUCUUAUCCUUUGUUUAAUAGUGUUUUGCUCACUUCUUCAUGAGAGAUCUUAAGAAUGGGCUUCGGCAUCCAUUCAACCAGCACUCUAUAGAGGAGGAUGAGCCUGUUUUCAAGGGAGAUCAAAGCCUUCUCCAUAGCUCUCCUCACUCAAUGGCCCAGUCCUCCCCAGAAUCCCCUCCUGCCAGCCCCUUCAAGGGCAGCUCUCUGUCAAUCUCAAACUCUUCCCUCCACUGUCACCGCAUCCUAGAAUCAGGUCUGCAUUUUGAGAUAUUUGUUUCUACAGGAUCCUUUUUUUUUUUUUUGCAACCAGUUUGUUUUAUUCUGCUGUCAGAAGAAUAAAAGAGUUGUUUAAACAAU
rnacentral:lncRNA from 1 species